UACGGGGGGGGGCAAGCGUUUGUUCGGAAUUACUGGGCGUAAAGGGCUCGUAGGUGGCCCAACUAAGUCAGACGUGAAAUCCCUCGGCUUAACCGGGGAACUGCGUCUGAUACUGGAUGGCUAGAGAUUGGGAGAGGGAUGCAGAAUUCCAGGUGUAGCGGUGAAAUGCGUAGAUAAUCUGGAGGAAUACCGGUGGCGAAGGCGGCAUCCGUGGACCGGCAUUGACGCUGACGGAGCGAA
rnacentral:rRNA from 1 species